rnacentral:rRNA from 1 species
UACAGAGGCCCCAAGCGUUACUGAGAAUCACUGGGUUUAAAGGGUGCGUAGGCGGUCCGUUAAGUUCGUUGUGAAAGCCCUGGGCUCAACCCAGGAACUGCUUCGAAUACUGGCGGACUUGAGGCUAGUAGAGGUCACUGGAACUGACGGUGGAGCGGUGAAAUGCGUAGAUAUCGUCAGGAACGCCAAUGGUGAAGACAGGUGGCUGGGCUAGUUCUGACACUGAGGCACGAAAGCGUGGGGAGCGAACAGG